UUUGUUUAUGGAUGGUUUUAUGUUGUGCAAUGAGUUGUACAUGUCUUAUGACAUCUGUUUGUCAUAUUCACUGAUAUGUUUUAUUUAUUUAUUUUUAGAUUGUGUGCAGUCAUGUUGAUGAGGGUGAUCACUCAGUGGCUUCAAAGGGAGCCUGUAUUGGUUACCGUGAGCGGUUAUGGGGAGUAAUUCAUUUCCUUAAAAUUUUUCUCUAUUCUCCAUCAUGCUUAUAACUGAUCUUAAUGAAUUAAUAUAUAUAUAGCAUGGCAAUGUGGGAUGUUGUCCUCGGUCAUCCUUGUGUCAGGCAUAUCAUCAACCAUACAAGAUGUGUUAAUACCGUUGCAAUGUCUCCAAAUGAUGAAUACUUAUGCACAGAAAAGUUGUAAGUUAUCUAAGUUGCCUUAGAUAAAUUUCUAAAUCUAUACUACGUAUGUAACUGGUAUGCUUGUAUCCAUUCAUGAAUAAACUUCAUGCACAUGAUGAUGUGCGCGCUUGCACAAUAAAGGUACUUAAUAGUGGAGUAAAGGAACUUAUUUCUACCAUUGUAUUGGUAGAGCUAGACAAAAAUUGUCUCUAGCAAUAACUUCAACAAUAAUCUUAAACUUGUUUCCAUCAAAUUCAAAUUGCCUAGUCGAGUAUCUAAUUAGAUGUAUUCUUAUGAUACUCCUCACACAUAUUGGAAUUCUCGCACCGAUUCAAGAUAGAAGUAAUAUGGUUUGCAUUUCCAGAGUCAUCCUUAAAAUUUUUCUAAGAAUCAUGAAAAAGAAAUGUAAAAAGAAUGCAGUUGAACUGUCCUCAGCCUUUGUUACCAGAAGCUCCCUGUUUUUUCGAUUGGAUGAUCAAAUCAUAAUGUGGGCAAGUUUCUCAAUUAAUUGAAUGGUUGCUCUGUCCAUCUUCUGAGUGUCUCUUCCCUGUCAAACACGAUAUUAUUAUUUGUUGUCUGGCAAUUGGAUCAUGCCAAGUAAUGCUAAUUGGGAGAACCGCUCCAUACUUGUUAUGCAACUUGUACUUGCCUUUUGUAGUUUCUAGGCCUAGUUCACAGUUAUAAUUAGAUCUUUAACCAAUUUAGUUGUUAUUGAUGUUAAGUAUGUUGUUACGUGCAUUUAUGAAUUAUUUUAUUAUGACAGUUUAUUUAAUGGGACACUAAUAUAUGUGCAUGUGAAAAGGUUGGAAGCAUUGAUGCUCAUCAGAGAAGUUCCCUCGAACCACAUGUCUUGAAUCAUGAACUUGCCAUUUAACACUGAUACAAAUAUGCCUUUUAACUCCGUCUUGUUGAUUGUUUUGCCUGAUGUAUUAAUUUGGUUCACAGGUUUUGUAUCAAAAUGACAAUGGAAGUGCCCAUAAAAAAUGGCACUUAUGUCACCCACUGACUGGGAACGUUUAUCAUCUUUCACCAUAUGGCAGAUUCCGAGUUCCGUGGUGCGAAAUGAGUUGGGGGAUGCUAACAGUAAAUGCAGCAAUUUAGUCAUUCCCUCAUGCAAUCAACAAUUUUUGGGAAACCGGUUGAGGCCUGGGAUGUAGGAUAUGAUGUCUUGUAAUUGUUGUAGUAACACACAGGAUUUUCUCUUACAAGCAUCUUUAUUUUCCAAACAACCAUUUUUUUUUUCUUCUCUACUGAUACGAUCUUAUGAUGAAGCAAGACAACUUUUCCUAGCUAAGAAAAGUCAUGGAGAUGAUGGGCCUGAAAUUGUGGUAGAGAUUUCUGAUGCUGUCUCUGUUCUAAAUUUACGGACAUGAAUUAAUUUUCGAUCUUUGAUGCUGGUUCGUGAUAGACAGCCUCCUGUAUGAAGGGGAAUAACUGCUGAAACUGCUAUUUAAGCUCCUGUUUGAAAGAGGACUGGCGCUUGUGUUUGUCCUUGAGCUAAACUUGUCCUGCUGUGCUGCAACCUGAGCCUGUACCUUCUUUCUCUCCUGUACCAAAAUCAUAUUAUUUGUGUGUAAUAUUAUGAAAGUGGUAUUCAUGAUUUGAUACCGUUACAAUUACCAGUCUGUCCUA